UUUUUAUGGAGAGUUUGAUCCUGGCUCAGGAUGAACGCUGGCGGCGUGCCUAAUACAUGCAAGUCGAGCGAACAGACGAGGAGCUUGCUCCUCUGACGUUAGCGGCGGACGGGUGAGUAACACGUGGAUAACCUACCUAUAAGACUGGGAUAACUUCGGGAAACCGGAGCUAAUACCGGAUAAUAUAUUGAACCGCAUGGUUCAAUAGUGAAAGACGGUUUUGCUGUCACUUAUAGAUGGAUCCGCG
rnacentral:rRNA from 1 species